rnacentral:rRNA from 1 species
GGCGCACGGGUGCGUAACGCGUAUGCAACUACCUUCUACAGGGGGAUAGUCAACAGAAAUGUUGAAUAAUACCCCAUACGAUCAUUAAUCUGCAUGGAUUGAUGAAGAAAGUUCCGGCGGUAGAAGAUGGGCAUGCGUCCUAUUAGUUAGUUGGUAAGGUAACGGCUUACCAAGACACCGAUAGGUAGGGGUCCUGAAAGGGAGAUCCCCCACACUGGUACUGAGACACGGACCAGACUCCUACGGGAGGCAGCAGUGAGGAAUAUUGGACAAUGGAGGCAACUCUGAUCCAGCCAUGCCGCGUGCAGGAAGACGGCCCUAUGGGUUGUAAACUGCUUUUAUACAGGAAGAAACGCCGCUACGUGUAGCGGUUUUGACGGUACUGUACGAAUAAGGAUCGGCUAACUCCGUG